GGAAAGAAGAAAAGAGGAAACACAGACACCACACUCUCGUCUUGCAGGAAAAUAAGUCAGAGGUAUCAUUGACUGUUGAUGGGGUAGAAUUUAAAGGGUUUUCUAUCAUUACUGCAGCCACAGAGAAAGAAAACUGUCUCUCUCUUUCUUCAAAGACUUUGAAAACCUUGGAGGGAGUGGGAGCCAUGAAUCACAACUUCUCCAUGGAUGGAAGCAGAGAGCUGAUGUCUGCUAAGCUGCCAUUCUAUCCUUCCAAAGAUCUGUUCUGGGCUUUUGGCAGCAGCAGAGUUGACCUGCAAAUCAAUUCAACUCCAUUCACAGCUCCUAAAACUGACUGUGCCCAGUUCCCCCACACAGGUGAGAGGAAAAUAUUUACAAGGAGAGAAGAUGGCCCUAGGAAAAAGCUGAGUGAGAUGAAUAGGGAAAGCUGGAGACUGCAGAACUCCAUCAGCGCCAUUGUAGGCUGCAUGCAGAACUCCAUCAGCACCAUUAUAGGCUGCAUGCAGAACUCCAUCAGCGCCAUUACAGGCUGCAGCCCCUCAGCUACAGCUGAGUGUCUCAACAAUCUCAUACAAGGCCCUUCAGCACCUGUGGAAUGUGCCACUCUUUCCUCAUUUCAAGCAGCUAUUGCUUUACAAGGACUAUUUGGGAACUCUGAACUCUACUAUUGAUGAGCUGUAACUUUGGCACCUUGGGGGUUCCAGCUGAGAAAUACUGUGACAUUUCAUGCCUCUCCAAAAAAAAAAAAACCUCUUUUUUUGAGAAUAAAAUCUCCUUUUGAUUGUUAAAGGCA
ensembl:lncRNA